GAUCAUGCAACUAUGCCCGUGCUUUUGGUUUGCCCAAUGCAAGAAAUUCAUUAUGUGGAAAAGCCAUCAAUUUCUGCUGAGAAUCUUCGCCUUUGUACCACUGAGCCUAAUAAAGUUUGGGUUAAUACCCUUAGUAAGAGAUGCGAGGGGCUUUACCAAUUGGAUAAGCGAAAAAGUGAGGUUUCAACUUUCUUGGAUAUCCAUGAUAUAGCUGGAUUAAUUAGAGGUGCCUAUGAGGGGCAAGAAUUGGUAAAUAGUUUCUCAUCUCACAAUUAUGCAGUUAAUAGCAGUUUUCAUUUGUUGAAGAAUGUUUUAGAUUCAUUUGUUGGUAUUGAAAUGGGUGCCAUGGAUCGUUAUGAACAAUAUUUUGACGUGUUCAUGCUUCAAGAUUCUGGUGUGUAGUAUUUUCCUAAGGCAUCCAAUUGGAUUUUGGAGAAUGUUUAUCCACAUUAUAUGCUGAGGGUUUUUUUGGGGAAGAUUAGAUGCAAGAUGAAAUCAGUAUUAAAUCAUUCCAUUGGGCGUUUGAACAAGAUCAAAUGCAAGAUGAAGGAGCUGUGCCAGAAAUUUUACUUUUUUUCUCUUCAAAAUUCAGCUUCCAUUAGCAGAGAUUUCUUAGGCAUUAGAAUUUGUUUUCACUUUUCCUUGAGGUCAAGGAUACUUAAAGGGGGAGUAAUUGAUAUGUGUCUAAUGUUGAUUG
rnacentral:misc_RNA from 1 species